rnacentral:rRNA from 1 species
AGUGUGACAGAGCUAUCCCGAGUGCCAUCCGCUGAGGAAGGCUUUUACCCAGUAUAAAUAGCUGGGAGAAUAAGGAGAGGGCAAGUCUGGUGUCAGCCGCCGCGGUAAUACCAGCUCUCCGAGUAGUGUGGACGUCUAUUGGGCCUAAAGCAUCCGUAGCUUGCUAGAUAAGUCCUCUGUUAAAUCCACCGAUUCAAUCGUUGGAUUGCGGGGGAUACUGUUUGGCUAGGGGACGGGAGAGGUCGACGGUAUUCCCGGGGUAGGGGUGAAAUCCUAUAAUCCCGGGAGGACCACCAGUGGCGAAGGCUGUUGACUAGAACGCGCCCGACGGUGAGGGAUGAAAGCUGGGGGAGCGAACCGGAUUAGAUACCCGGGUAGUCCCAGCUGUAAACGAUGCAGGCUAGGUGUUUGGGCGGCCACGAGCCGCCCUAGCGCCGCAGGGAAGCUGUUAAGCCUGCCGCCUG